rnacentral:rRNA from 1 species
CCUACGGGGGGCAGCAGUGAGGAAUAUUGGUCAAUGGGCGAGAGCCUGAACCAGCCAAGUCGCGUGAGGGAGUACUGCCCUAUGGGUUGUAAACCUCUUUUGUCGGGGAGCAAAAGCCGGACGUGUCCGUCUGUGAGAGUACCCGAAGAAAAAGCAUCGGCUAACUCCGUGCCAGCAGCCGCGGUAAUACGGAGGAUGCGAGCGUUAUCCGGAUUUAUUGGGUUUAAAGGGUGCGCAGGCGGAAGAUCAAGUCAGCGGUAAAAUUGAGAGGCUCAACCUCUUCGAGCCGUUGAAACUGGUUUUCU